AUUAACAGCUGAAAGAUAAAACAACACUUGCAAACUAAACUCUACAAAUGCAGUGGUAUACAUAGACACAACUGGCUGAUAUUGACAGAGGAAUUAUCUAGAUGAAUUUAAAAAACAAUUCAGUGAAUUACAUUUUUCUAAUACAUAUGCAUCUGUAUAUACCAGUGAUCAUGUAGUAUUUAACUCCAUAAGCAUUAAACUUUAAAAUAACAAGGGAAAUCAUAUCAAUAAAUACUUAAAAAUGGAAUUUAAGUAUCUUGAGUAUCCCAUGAUAAUUAAUCAGAACUAAUAAACAUAAAUGCACAAAAUAUUUUCCUGGUAUUAUCAACAAUUUACUGAAGAUAUUAAUUGUAUACCAAAAUUAAUGUUAUCCGAGUUUGUAAGUUAUAUCAUAUUUUUAAUAUGUACAAUACUCUACCACCCUUUUAUCAAACUAAGUUAAGUAAAUUUAUCAUAUACAAUAAUUACUGUACAUGUGUGGAUAAUAUUAAGAUACUCCCACAUGAAACGAAGCAUGAAAUCAAACAAGUUUUAAAAAAAAAUAAUAAAUAACUGUCAAACACCGGAUUUUUUUUACUUUUUCUAGCAGGCUAGCUGUCAUCUGGAAUGUCAGAUAAUUUCUCUGACACAGUCUGUAAAUCCUUUGGGGUAUAUGAAUAGUCUGUUGAUACAAAAUUCAGUUUACAACAUACCUUGUUGGAACUAGAGUUGGACUCCUCUGCAUCUUUUGACGAAAGCUUCAGCUUCUCCACAGACCUAUUACAUAUUUUAACUUACAUUAGUAUAUAUAUAUUGACUAACAUAGUACUAUCAUUCAAGUACUCCGCAUUUUUAAUUACUUUCUCAUUGUGCAGCAUACACCAUACAUUCUCAAAGCCUGGCCAUUUUCCAUGCAUUGAACCCAUGUGUGUGGUAAAGGACACCCCCACCCCCACCCCCUCUUAGAAAGAAAAUAUUACUGAAGUUUGUAAACAAGCAGUAUUUUUAAAAAAAAAAAACAUAGUAAAUUGUGCCUGUCAAUUGUUUUGAACAAUUCCAACUCAUCUCCUACAGCUAAAAUGAAAUUUCAUUCCUUGUCAAUUGUUUUGAACAACCCCAAGCACAGGGGCAUCUUAUCCGCUCUGUUCUCUAUCACACAUAUAUAAAUACACAAGGGAAGAAUCGAAAGUAGCACACGAUUUGUAAACAAAGUCAUAAAACACCUUACUUGAAAAAAGUUACACAAAUCCUCGUAUGCACUAAUGCAAAUGAUGUCCUAGAACUUAUCCAGACUCAAAUAUUCCAAAUAUUCCCAAUGUAAAUAGUUUUUAUCCACAUAAAAUCCCAGCUUGCUGCACAGUUUUGAACUCUUAGGCCAAGAAAAGAUAACUCUACUUCAGACGACAACUUCCGGUAUUUGGAAUCUAUAUUUGAGUAGCAUAAAAUCAAGGAUCAAUAAAGUAAAUAGGCGUUAAUUUGUAAAUCAGUGUCUGAAAAGAAAUAUUGUAAUAUAAUAGGCAAUUAUACAAUAGAUUUUCCUUUAACUUCGAAUUACAAAAAAUAAAUGAAUAAAUUAAAAAAACAACAAAUAAGAAAAAGAAACAACAAGCAAAUAUGAGAAAGGAACUUGACUUUAUAUUACAAAAGAAAAGCAGAUUUUAGAAAUGUAUAACGUGUCUUCAAAAAUUAUAAAAAUAAAUCAUCUGUCCUCAACUGUAAUCUGUCCCUGUCUGGUGCUAUUUUACCCCCCCCCCUCCCCUCACACAAAAUAAAGAGUUUUUGAGUUAUGUAAUUUUCCUUUUUGAAGGUAAGAAAAAAUAAGUAAUCUGUCUCUGAUCAUCGUGGAAAUGAAGAAUUUGCCCUUUAACGGCAUGAGAAUAAAUGAAUAAUCUAACUUUAAAAAUUGUCAGCCCCCCCACCCACCCACCCCGAAUUAAAUGGUAUUAUACCCUUAUAUGGUUAGUAUGAAUAUAUAAUAACUGGGUCAUUCAUUUAAUUACCAUAACAUAUGAGAAACAGAUGAGCAAUUAAAAUAAAUUUCCUUCACAUUGAAUAAAAAAAUUCAAAUAUGGACAAGAACUUGAAAUGAAUAUAUGUAUAUAUAUAUAAUCCAGAAAUAAGUAUAGAAAAAUAUAUAGGCCUACAAGUUAGUAGCAUAAUAAAAAUAUCACAAAGCCGACUGAGCAUACUUGUCUAGUUUCAGGAGUUACAUAUAAGUAUUUAAUUUCAAAACAAUAUAUUCUUAUUAUAUAUAAAUUUUAUAUAAAUGAAUAUAUUGAAAUUUAUACAAAUUAAAGAAACUAGUAUUUUUAUUUAUUUAUUUUGUAUUAUUAUUACUUUUUUCUUCUUUUUUUUUUAUUGUAAUAUAAAGUCAAAUUCUUUUCUUAUAUUUUAUCCCCCCCCCCCUUUUUUUUUUUAUUAAACCCGACUGUUUACCAACAAUUGUGCAAUGAAUUACGCUAAUUGAAUUACAAUAAAAGUAUGUCAACUCCAUGCUUACAAUAAGAUAGAUAUUUUUUUUUUCAAAAAUUGAUAAAUAUAACCAAAAACCGGAAGUUGUCGUCUGAAGUAGAGUUAUCUUUUCUUGGCCUAAGAGUUCAAAACUGUGCAGCAAGCUGGGAUUUUAUGUGGAUAAAAACUAUUUACAUUGGGAAUAUUUGGAAUAUUUGAGUCUGGAUAAGUUCUAGGACAUCAUUUGCAUUAGUGCAUACGAGGAUUUGUGUAACUUUUUUCAAACAGAUGGAAACCAAUGUAAUUCAGACGAAAAGGGAGUGCAACUCAAAAUACCAAGGAAAAACAAGAAAGGCCAUUGUGAAUCAGCAGCUGAUGUCCUAUACAACCAUCCUUCCAUGACACAUGCAAUGGGAAGUUCAAUUUCAGGAAACAAAGCCUGCCUGAAACUCCAAAAUGACAUUUCCAGAAAGCUAAAAAUCAACAAAAAAUGGCUAGUAAUGCAACUAACACCUUACAACCCAGAUUUCAUUCCACUGAAAAGAAAAGGGGCAUAAAAUUUUGCAUGUCCAUGUCUUGGAAGGUGACUAGGUGGGAAGUCAAUAGAUGUUUACCAGAUCAGAUGCUUGCAGAGGAUACUGGGGAUAAAGGCAGAAAAUGAUGAAAAACAGGGAAGUGGCAGAUAGGGCGGACAUGAAUGCAAUAAAUAAUGAGCUGAGGAGACGGUGAUGGAACUAUAUAGGACACGUGCUAUGGAGGGGAGGUGACAAUGACAGUGAGAUGGCGUUUGGUUGGACACCAGAAGGGAAGAGGGCAUUUAAGAGACCGAAAACAACCUGGAGAGGGACAGUAGAAGCAGAAAGAAAGAUUGCAGAAUGGAGAAACUGGAAUGAGAUCCAGAUGGAAGCAAUAGAACAGAGUGGAUUGGAAAGAGUCUCAGCCCUAUGUGUUUUGGCAUGAAGAUAACUAAGUAAUGUCUAGAUUGUUGGAGAUAGGACGACCAGGAAUAUGAAUGGAUGUGUUGGAAACUGUACUAAGAACCUGAUGUAUUUGGAUAUAUUUACAUACCAUCCUGAUUUUGCUAUGCAAAACUUGAAAAAAAUCCUCAACUCAUACUGUAGCUGACAUUGUACUUAUUAAUAUCUCAAAUGAACAUAUUUUUAGACAUACGAUAUCUAAACUAUGGAGUCCAUGUACAUUUCCACAAUGGAUAAUAGGUUAUGAUAUAUGUGUGGUAUCUUUUCCUAUGGUAUGCACAUGUUAAUACAUUAGUUUAAAUGAUGAUGUAUAUCUUAUGACUAUGGAAGAAAAUGUGUUGAAAACAGAAUAUGUGUCUAGAGGAGUUGUUGCCCUUGAAUGUAAUUCAUUAUUUACAUGGGGUUGAAAAAUAAUCCAGCACACAAUAGUACUAAAUGCAUUAGGUUAAAAUACAUUUAUAAAUAGUAUAAGUGAUACUGUAAAUUACAGAUUAAUACACUUUGUGAAAUCAUAUUAUUGUUAUGUUUAAUAAAUUUCAAGGCUGCA